AGGAUUAACGCUGGCGGCGUGCAUGAAACAUGCAAGUCGAGCGCGGUGUGAUGAGGGGUAACCCAAUUCACAUCUAGCGGCGAACGGGUGAGUAACACGUGAGCAACCUACCUUUGAGUUGGGGAUAGCCCUGGGAAACCAGGAUUAAUACCCGAUGUGGUCACAACAGGACAUCCUGAUGUGAGUAAAGGCGUAAGCCGCUCAAUGACGGGCUCGCGGCCUAUUAGCUUGUUGGUGGGGUAACGGCCUACCAAGGCGAUGAUGGGUAGCUGGUCUGAGAGGACGAUCAGCCACACUGGGACUGAGACACGGCCCAGACUCCUACGGGAGGCAGCAGUUAGGAAUUUUCCGCAAUGGGCGAAAGCCUGACGGAGCAACGCCGCGUGAGUGAUGAAGACCUUCGGGUUGUAAAGCUCUGUCGGAGGGGAAGAACACAAUGACGGUACCCUACCAACGAACGCCCGGACUAACUACGCGCCAGCACGCCGCGGU
rnacentral:rRNA from 1 species